UUAGAAAUUAUUUCACAAAAAAAAAAAAAAAAAAAAAAAAAUUAUAAACUUUUCUAAUUCAUCAUUCCUGUGUAGUCAAUUUAAAGUCAGUUAAAUUCUACAGCGAAACAUAUUCUAGCUUGCCAUGACAAUGGAUAUACGGAUGUUGAUCAAACUUUGGUUGAAGUUUUGAUAGGCAGAAUAAAUUACUUGGUACAGGUUCAGUUGAAAGUAAGAAAUAUUUGUGAGCCUGUAAGUUUUUGUCUUUAUAAUGUCCUUCCUUUCCUUCUCAAUAAAGUGUAAUCAUGCAACUGUUCAUAUUUAAGCUGUAAUCAUAUUUUUAUUAUAUUGGUUUUGUUUAUGUUUACAAUUGUAAAAUAUUCCUGCUUUACAUCAAGAAAUCGUUCCCACUUUUUAAAUCUGUUCAGCAUAUAAGUACAUGUGUUGAGAUUAUUAAUGAUUCGUGUUUGAAUGUUAUAUCUUUUGUUUAUGCACUGUAAGUGUAAGCUUGUUGCUUCUAUCAUCAAAUACCAAAGAAAAUUACUUUUGUUAAGUUUGAAAGUGAAAUUAACUUGAAAUAAUACUUUAUCGUUGCUAAAAGCUUCCUUAUUAAGUUUUUGUUAUAAUUUGUAUUGUUUUAAAUAGUAUCCUGUCUUUUAAAGUAUGUAUUCUGAUUAAUUAACCUUGUGAUAUCUGUUUAUGUAUGUAUCAAUAAUAUUUGUUUGUGAGCCACAUUGUACAAAUAUGUAAGAGUCAAACUUUACUAAUUUGUUUGUGAGCCACAUUGUACAAAUAUGUUGAAGUCAAACUCUACAAAUUUGUGUGUGAGUCACAUUGUACAAAUAUGUUUGAGUCAAACUUUACAAAUUUGUUUUGUGAGUCACAUUGUACAAAUAUGUUAGAGUCAAAUUUUACAAAUUUGUUUGUGAGUCACAUUCUACAAAUAUGUUGGAGUCAAACUUUACAAAUUUGUUUUGUGAGUCACAUUGUACAAAUAUGUUAGAGUCAAACUUUACAAAUUUGUUUGUGAGUCACAUUGUACAAAUGUUUGCAAGUGGUACUGUAAAUUUAUUUGUGAGUUACAAAUGUUUGUGAAUCAAAUCAUACAAAUACUUUAAUGACUAACAUUGAAGGUAUUUGAGACAAACUGUAGAUUUGUUUGUGAAUCACUUUGUACAAAUUUGUUUGCGAAUCACAUUGUACACUCUGCUUGCCAUUCACAUUACAAAUUUAUUUGUGAAUUAAAUUGAACAAAUGUGUUAGCACAUCACAUCAUACAAAUUUGUGAAUGAAAUUUUACAAAUUUACUUGUAAGUAACCUUGUACAAAUUUGUUUGCUUUACUAAAUUGUAUGGAACAUCUUGAUCAAAUCAAUGCAUAUAUAUAUAUAUAAUUGUAUAUAUUUUGUUUGUAAAGUAUGAAAUACAAAAGUUCUAUUUGUUAACAGUGUAUAAUUUUGUGAAUACUACGACCACAAAUAACAUGCAUGCUCAUGUUGAUUACUGGUAAUCAGAUCUUUAUAAACAUCCUUGGAAAUUAAUGGUCUUUUUUCAGUUACUGGUUUACCACCUACAUGACUCUGUCUAUAGCUAGGUUUCGUCUCACUAACUCUAGUCAGUGUUCUGUCGAUGGUUUACCACCUACAUGACUCCGCCUAUUGCUACUUUUUGUCUCACUGACUGUAGUCAGUGUUCUAUCAGUAUUAGUUAGUCAUUACAGGUGAGACUUCUACGCAUAUAAAAUGUAAAUGUUUUUUGCAAAUACAACAUGUAUUCAUGAAAUCAUCAACUCGAUAUAAAAAAUAUCAACAUUUUGGUGCCUAGCUUUUUCCCUGAAGUUGUCACAACAAAUAUUUAGAAAUCAAUCUGUGACAAUGAAAUUGUAGUGUAUGUAAUACCACAAAACAAUAGGGACAUAUGGUUAUUACAAAUCUGACUCUAGGUGUCCACAACACCAAUAAUGUACAUGUAUUUCAUAUGUGCUGGUUAAUAUCUUGCCAACAAGUAUUUUCAAGAUUUAAUUGGAGAAUCAAAAAGCUUUUUCUUGUAUUUUAUGGUUAGAUUUCGUGCUUAAAGAGAAAACAUUACUGUAUUUACUUUUUAUGACUUUUAUGAAAAUCAAAAAUCCUAUUCAAAAAUUGAAUUUUCAAAUUGUAUUUCAGUGAUAAGCAAUCAAAGAUUCUUUGUCUUCAGUGAUUAAUGAAUAUAAUUUUCAUCAAAUCUGUAUAUUAAUUAAAUUUGAUAUCAAAGAUAAUCUAUGAUCAGAAUCUCUAUCUUUAGGAUAUGCACAGCUUACCAAAUUAUCAAUCAAGGAUACAAUACUCCUAAAUGAUCAUGGCCCAGUUGUUCAAAAGGUGAUUAGCCUAAAUCACUUACUUAGUGAAAAUCUCAUUUCUCUUUAAAUUCAAAACCUCUGUGUGAAUAUUCCUUACACAAGACAGUUAGGAAGAGACUGAAGCGUGUUAUAAAGAGUUUUGUAAAAUUUUGCUAGUUUUACCAGAAAUGAUUUUAUCAGGAUUUUAAAAUUGUUAAACAAUUGUUAAGCCUAAUCACCUUUUAAACAACUGGUCCUUGACGUUUGGUUUGCAGGGAAUUAAUAUGUUAAUUAGUAGAAGUAUUCAAGAACAGAUAACAGCUGGUGUUUGUCCUUUAUUUCUUCUUCUGAAGAAUGAUUUAUGUUCCUAGCCAUAUCUUCAGUAUCCAAGAGUUACACAUCAUGAUAUACCACUAUCAGUAUUGUGUAGUGGAUUGAAAUCCUUUGGUAGCAAAAUGCCAUAUAUUACCAAUGUAUUUGUCUUAAAGACCACAAAAUUGUUAUAAUUGUUAUUUGUUGUCAGUUGAUGGUAAUUUGUAAAAUAAAUAUUGAAAUGAAA